UUUAGCUCCUUCAGACUAUCGUCUCUUUGGCCCCAUGGAAGAGGGUUUGAGAAGCAAACAUUAUUCCAGUGAUGAGGAAGUGAAAACUGUAGUGAAGAAGUGGCUCAAAGAACAGUCAACAGAAUUUUACGGAGUAGGGAUACAUGUU